CAGAAAAGCAUAAUUCCACACAUCCAAAGUAAAAAUGCAAUAAUCAUAUUUACAAGACAAGAUAUAAAGAGAGAGAGUUGGAAAAAUAAAACCCAGAAAACAGAACACCAUUAAUGGCAUAGAGCCAAAAACCAUCAUCUCUCACAAUUCACGCCUACCACACCCCUUUCCCCUCUCAUAUAAUUCACGCCUACCAUUACCAUUAAUAGUCAUUCCAUUUGCAACAGUAAUCAUUGCAUCAACAACGGUAAUGGCGUCACAUUGCUCCAUUUUGCUAUCCAGUGCCAGUCUAUCUGACCUUUCUUCAUGCGCUUCUCCUCAAACUUAACAAAAAUUAAGAAAUAAUGUCAAAAUACACAACCAAAUAGUAAUUUAAUCUAUCAAUUUUAUUUCAAUUCGAAAAAAAAAAUCUAAUUACAAGCCAACUAAUUUUUUAAUCUUGAUUGAGCGUCGGAGCGAAAUGAGGAGUGUGACGUCAGAGGAAAAUUCUUAUUAUCAGAGUGAAGGAAAAAUGGAAGCACCUUGAGUUUUAUAUACUCGUCGCAGAUCUCAACCGUUGAUAGCUCUAGGAUUUCGGAGCAGUUGUUCUGCCUUUCACGUUUCUGGUGCUCGAUACUUCGUGCGAUGCUGUCCACGGUGGUGGAUGAAGAUGGAUCGUUGCUUGGGUUCCGGUGAGUAGUCGGCUGUGGAGGGAAUGUUUGUUGGCGACAAAGGUGGUCGCCGGCGAGAGAAAGUGGCUGUUGGAAGGUUUUGAGAGAGGGAUGAGAUAUGAUGGGUG
rnacentral:lncRNA from 1 species